CAAACGACUCUCGGCAACGGAUAUCUCGGCUCACGCAUCGAUGAAGAACGUAGCAAAAUGCGAUACCUGGUGUGAAUUGCAGAAUCCCGUGAACCAUCGAGUUUUUGAACGCAAGUUGCGCCCGAAGCCAUCCGGCUGAGGGCACGUCUGCCUGGGCGUCACGC
rnacentral:rRNA from 2 species